CAGCCCUUGACAUGUCCGGCACACGAUAGAGAUGUUGUUUUCCCUUCGGGGACCGGAGCACAGGUGUUGCAUGGCUGUCGUCAGCUCGUGUCUUGAGAUGUUGGGUUAAGUCCCGCAACGAGCGCAACCCUCGCCUUUAGUUGCCAGCAUUAAGUUGGGCACUCUAGGGGGACUGCCGGUGAUAAGCCGAGAGGAAGGUGGGGAUGACGUCAAGUCCUCAUGGCCCUUACGGGAGGGGCUACACACGUGACACAAUGGCGGUGACAAUGGGCAGAGAAGGGGCGACCAGGAGCUAAUCUUUAAAAACCGUCUCAGUUCGGAUUGUUGUCUGCAACUCGAGAGCAUGAAGUGGAAUCGCUAGUAAUCGCGUAACA
rnacentral:rRNA from 1 species